rnacentral:rRNA from 1 species
UACGUAGGGUGCAAGCGUUAAUCGGAAUACUGGGCGUAAAGCGUGCGCAGGCGGUGAUGUAAGACAGAUGUGAAAUCCCCGGGCUCAACCUGGGAACUGCAUUUGUGACUGCAUCGCUGGAGUGCGGCAGAGGGGGAUGGAAUUCCGCGUGUAGCAGUGAAAUGCGUAGAUAUGCGGAGGAACACCGAUGGCGAAGGCAAUCCCCUGGGCCUGCACUGACGCUCAUGCACGAAAGCGUGGGAGCAAACAGGAUUAGAACCUACCGGUGU